UACAGAGGUCCCAAGCGUUGUUCGGAUUCAUUGGGCGUAAAGGGUGCGUAGGCGGUGAAGUAAGUCUGGUGUGAAAUCCCGGGGCUCAACCCCGGAACUGCACUGGAUACUGCUUUACUAGAGUACUGGAGAGGGAACUGGAAUUUACGGUGUAGCAGUGAAAUGCGUAGAUAUCGUAAGGAAGACCAGUGGCGAAGGCGAGUUCCUGGACAGUUACUGACGCUGAGGCACGAAGGCCAGGGGAGCAAACGGGAUUAGAAACCCCUGUAGUCC
rnacentral:rRNA from 1 species